rnacentral:rRNA from 1 species
UACGGGGGGGGCAAGCGUUGUUCGGAAUUACUGGGCGUAAAGGGCUCGUAGGCAGCCAACUAAGUCGGACGUGAAAUCCCCAGGCUCAACCUGGGAACUGCGUCUGAUACUGGAUGGCUUGAAUCCGGGAGAGGGAUGCAGAAUUCCAGGUGUAGCGGUGAAAUGCGUAGAUAUCUGGAGGAAUACCGGUGGCGAAGGCGGCAUCCUGGACCGGCAUUGACGCUGAGGAGCGAAAGCCAGGGGAGCAAACGGG